rnacentral:rRNA from 1 species
GAGUUUGAUUAUGGCUCAGGAUGAACGCUGGCGGCGUGCCUAACACAUGCAAGUCGAACGAAGCAUAUAGAAGGAAGUUUUCGGAUGGAAUUUUAUAUGACUUAGUGGCGGACGGGUGAGUAACGCGUGGAUAAUCUGCCUUACACAGCGGGAUAACAAGUGGAAACAGUUGCUAAUACCGCAUAAGCACACAGUAUCGCAUGAUACAGGGUGAAAAGAUUUAUCGGUGUAAGAUGAGUCCGCGUCCCAUUAGCUAGUUGGUGAGGUAAAAGCUUACCAAGGCGACGAUGGGUAGCCGGCCUGAGAGGGUGAACGGCCACAUUGGGACUGAGACACGGCCCAGACUCCUACGGGAGGCAGCAGUGGGGGAUAUUGCACAAUGGGCGAAAGCCUGAUGCAGCGACGCCGCGUGAAGGAUGAAGUAUUUCGGUAUGUAAACUUCUAUCAGCAGGGAAGAAAAUGAC